UACGCGUACCUAUUAUGUACUACUACCGGCACACAAGGAAGGACGAAUUCAGCACGUCUUAUCACUUCGACGUUCGCGAAAGAAAUGACACGACCUUCCUUCCCGACGAAGAGCAGUCGGCACCGCUCGGUAAUAUUCGGUAUUAUUCGGUACCGGCCGAAAUCGAAGCAGACGCGUGCAAAACGGACGAAGCUUCGAAGAGCAAUGAUGCAUUGCGCCACACUCUGCACACUUCAACCUGUAACCGACGAAUCUGAUUGGUCGAAAAGAAAGGACGCCAUAAUGGAUGACCAAUCACAGCCAUUGAUAGAAAUUUCAUAUUGCUUCGAAGCUUUAACAGUAAAAUAAGGGAAAGACACGUGCUAAACGGACAAAGCUUCGAAGAGCAAUGAUGCUCUCCACCAUACUCCACCCACCUCGCCCUCCAACGAUGAAUCUGAUUGGUCUAAAUGGGAAGACGCAAUAACGGACGACCAAUCACAGCCAUUGGUAGAAACUUCAAAUUGUUUCGACAUUUUAAUACUAAAAUAAGAAAAAGGUUCAUUGAAAAUUAUCGAGACCAUAUUGAAAUAAAAUCAAGAUUACUUUUUUCAAUUUAAAGCACCGAAAUAUAGA